rnacentral:rRNA from 1 species
AUCGAACGCUGGCGGCAUGCUUUACACAUGCAAGUCGAACGGUAACAGGCCGCAAGGUGCUGACGAGUGGCGAACGGGUGAGUAAUGCAUCGGAACGUGCCCAGUCGUGGGGGAUAACUGCUCGAAAGAGCAGCUAAUACCGCAUACGAUCUAUGGAUGAAAGCGGGGGACCGUAAGGCCUCGCGCGAUUGGAGCGGCCGAUGUCAGAUUAGGUAGUUGGUGGGGUAAAGGCUCACCAAGCCAACGAUCUGUAGCUGGUCUGAGAGGACGACCAGCCACACUGGGACUGAGACACGGCCCAGACUCCUACGGGAGGCAGCAGUGGGGAAUUUUGGACAAUGGGGGCAACCCUGAUCCAGCAAUGCCGCGUGCAGGAAGAAGGCCUUCGGGUUGUAAACUGCUUUUGUACGGAACGAAACGGUCUGGGUUAAUACCCUGGGCUAAUGACGGUACCGUAAGAAUAAGCACCGGCUAACUACGUGCCAGCAGCCGCAGUAAGAC